GUUUAACCUGCCCACUGAAUAUUUAAAUGGCUGCAGUAUAUUGACUGUACAAAGGUAGCAUAAUCAUUAGUUUUUUAAUUGAAAACUGGAAUGAAUGGUUGGAUGAAAUAUAGACUGUUUUAUAUAAAAUUUAUUAGAAUUUUAUUUUUUAGUUAAAAAGCUAAAAUAGAUUUAAAAGACGAGAAGACCCUAUAAAUCUUUAUAUAAUAAUAUAAAAAUUAAUUAUUUAGAAGAUUUAGUUAUUUUAGAUUAUUAUAUUUUAUUGGGGAGAUAAUAAAAUUUAAUGAACUUUUAUUUAUUAUAUCAUUGAUUUAUGAUUUAUUGAUUAAUUAUUAAUGCAUAAUAGAAUAAGUUACUUUAGGGAUAACAGCGUAAUUAUUUUGGAGAGUUCAUAUUGAUAAAAUAGAUUGCGACCUCGAUGUUGGAUUAAGAAUAAAUUUAGGUGUAGAAGCUUAAAAUUUAAGUCUGUUCGACUUU
rnacentral:rRNA from 2 species